CAAAUGGGGAUACAUAGGUUUUUAUAUCUACCUGGAUCUCCAAAAUCUCUAUUAGGUUGAGAUUUGUUAGAGCAAUUAGAAGCAGAAAUUGUCUUUGAAAAAGGGAAAAUGGAAUUAAAGAUAGGAGAACAACUAAUAAAUGUGUUGAGCUUGGCACUAAUACAAACUGACCCUAAAAGUGAAAUACCCUCAGAGAUCACAGAUCAAGUGUAUCCAGGAGUUUGGGCCACUGAAGUCCCUGGAAGAGCUAAAAAUGUGACCCCAAUAAUUAUUAAAUUAAAAACAGGAGAGAAACCCGUUAAGGUUAAGCAAUAUCCUUUGAGGAUAGAAGAUAGGAAAGGAAUUAAAGAGAUAAUUGAUAAAUUUCUACAGUAUGGAUUAUUAGUUGAAUGCAAAUCAGAAUACAAUACACCCAUAUUGCCAAUCAAAAAGGCAGAUGGAAAAAGUUAUAGGCUAGUUCAGGAUUUGAGGGCCAUAAAUAAAAUCACCGAGGAUAUACAUCCAGUAGUGGCAAACCCUUAUACUUUGCUGACUAAAUUAAAGAAUAGUCAAGUUUGGUUUACCAUACUGGAUUUAAAAGACGCCUUCUUCUGCCUAGCCUUAGCCACAGAAAGCCAAAACCUAUUUGCCUUGGAAUGGGAAAACCCCGACUCAGGCAGAAAGAUGCAGCUUACGUGGACAGUACUACCUCAAGGAUUCAAGAAUAGCCCCACCAUUUUUGGAAACCAAUUAGCAAAGGAACUCGAGAUUUGGAUGCCUCCGGACACUGAAGGGGCUUUGUUACAAUAUGUAGAUGAUCUCUUAAUAGCUACCGAGACUGAAGAGAGUUGUAUUCAACGGACUAUAAGUCUCCUUAAUUUUCUGGGUUUAAAUGGAUAUUGAGUCUCCCAACAGAAAGCCCAGCUGGUUCAACAACGCGUGACCUAUUUGGGAUUUGAAAUUUCGGGAGGACAACGAGAACUAGGAACUGAACGUAAGGAAUUCAUUUGCCGAACUCCAGAACCCCAAAUGGUAAAGGAGCUAUGAACCUUUUUAGGAAUGACAGCUUCUUUCCUUAGCGGAACUCUGGAUGAACCAAUAACACGAUUGUAUAGAAACAAUGGAGACUGUGUAUUCUAAUCGACCUGAUCUUAAGGAAGAACCUUUAGAAGAUGCUGACGAAUCUUGGUAUACUGAUGGAAGCAGCUUUGUGAAACAAGGACAACGUAAGGCAGGGUAUGCUGUUACAACCACUCAACAGGUAAUCGAGUCCAAACCAUUACCUCCUGGGACGUCCGCCCAGAAAGCAGAGAUAAUUGCUCUUACGCGAGCACUGGAACUAGCAGCAGGAAGGAAAGUAAAUAUUUGGACAGAUUCUAAAUAUGCAUUCGGCGUGGUGCAUGCUCAUGGAGCAAUUUGGAAAGAACAAAUUGUAAAAUUGUUAGAGGCGGUAAAACAACCAGAAAAGGUAGCAUGCAUUGUUGGGGACACCAAAAGGGGAACGCCGAUUUUGAAAUUGGAAAUCGAUUGGCAGAUCAAGAGGCUAAGCAGGUAGCUGGAUUAACUGAAGUGAAGGCAUCAUCUUUGAUACCAGACGGUAAAGUCCAAACUAUAUACAUAAACCAAAAGCCAAAUUAUACAAAAGAAGACUUAAAAUUAAUUGAAGAUUUGAAAGGUAAAAUGAAACCAGAUGGAUGGGUAUAUUUAAAAGAUAACCGAGUAGUAAUACCCUCUAAUUUGAUAUGGCCCACAGUUCUUACAGAACACAAUAAAACACAUUGGGGAGCUGACACAUUGCAUAAGAGCCUGAGUCACACAUUAGUGGGACGAAAUUUAUAGACAAC